rnacentral:rRNA from 1 species
AACGAACGCUGGCGGCAUGCCUAACACAUGCAAGUCGAACGAGACCUUCGGGCCUAGUGGCGCACGGGUGCGUAACGCCUGGGAACCUGCCCUUAGGUUCGGAAUAACUCCCCGAAAGGGGUGCUAAUACCGGAUAAUGUCUUCGGACCUAAGAUUUAUCGCCUUUGGAUGGGCCCGCGUUAGAUUAGCUAGUUGGUAGGGUAAAAGCCUACCAACGCGAUGAUCCAUAGCUGGUCUGGGAGGAUGGUCAGCCACACUGGGGCUACGACACGGACCAGACUCCGCCGGAGAGCGGGAGAGGAGAACAUUAGACAAUGGGCGCUAGCCUGAACCAGCAAUGCCGCGUGAGUGAUGAAGGCCUUAGUAAAGUAAAGCUCUAUUAGCCGGGAUGAUAAUGACAGUACCGGGAGAAUAAGCUCCGGCUAACUCCGUG